rnacentral:rRNA from 1 species
GAUUCCCCCAGUAGCGGCGAGCGAACGGGGAGCAGCCCAGAGCCUGAAUCAGUAUGUGUGUUAGUGGAAGCGUCUGGAAAGGCGCGCGAUACAGGGUGACAGCCCCGUACACAAAAAUGCACAUGCUGUGAGCUCGAUGAGUAGGGCGGGACACGUGGUAUCCUGUCUGAAUAUGGGGGGACCAUCCUCCAAGGCUAAAUACUCCUGACUGACCGAUAGUGAACCAGUACCGUGAGGGAAAGGCGAAAAGAACCCCGGCGAGGGGAGUGAAAAAGAACCUGAAACCGUGUACGUACAAGCAGUGGGAGCACGCUUAGGCGUGUGACUGCGUACCUUUUGUAUAAUGGGUCAGCGACUUAUAUUCUGUAGCAAGGUUAACCGAAUAGGGGAGCCGAAGGGAAACCGAGUCUUAACUGGGCGUUAAGUUGCAGGGUAUAGACCCGAAACCCGGUGAUCUAGCCAUGGGCAGGUUGAAGGUUGGGUAACACUAACUGGAGGACCGAACCGACUAAUGUUGAAAAAUUAGCGGAUGACUUGUGGCUGGGGGUGAAAGGCCAAUCAAACCGGGAGAUAGCUGGUUCUCCCCGAAAGCUAUUUAGGUAGCGCCUCGUGAAUUCAUCUCCGGGGGUAGAGCACUGUUUCGGCAAGGGGGUCAUCCCGACUUACCAACCCGAUGCAAACUGCGAAUACCGGAGAAUGUUAUCACGGGAGACACACGGCGGGUGCUAACGUCCGUCGUGAAGAGGGAAACAACCCAGACCGCCAGCUAAGGUCCCAAAGUCAUGGUUAAGUGGGAAACGAUGUGGGAAGGCCCAGACAGCCAGGAUGUUGGCUUAGAAGCAGCCAUCAUUUAAAGAAAGCGUAAUAGCUCACUGGUCGAGUCGGCCUGCGCGGAAGAUGUAACGGGGCUAAACCAUGCACCGAAGCUGCGGCAGCGACGCUGAUGCGUUGUUGGGUAGGGGAGCGUUCUGUAAGCCUG